rnacentral:lncRNA from 1 species
AAGGUCCUCUGGCUAUGAUGAUCCCAGAGCUUACAUUCCAGUCUCUGUAGCUGCUACCAGCCUGGCCUCGAGAGGAUUCCUCUUUGCCCCUCUGUAUCACUCGUCUUAUUGUAGCUCUGAGUGUUAUACUCCAAGAGCUUCUUCUCCUUAUGCUCCCUGGAGUCCUGUUACAUCCAUCCAAAGACCAGCUGAUGGCAGCCUUCUGAGAGGUAAGGAGUACUUCUCAGUAGUUGUUGGCUGGCUAAGUACCAGCUCUAUGAGUAGACCCAUUGCUUGCCUACUGACCACAUAGAAGUAGCCUCUAGCUGAACUCAAGCCCUGAUUGUCC